AAUGAACGCUGGCGGCAUGCCUAACACAUGCAAGUCGAACGAGACCUCCGGGUCCAGUGGCGCAUGGGUGUGUAACGCGUGGGAACCUGCCCUCAGGUUUGGAAUAACUCUCCGAAAGGGGUGCUAAUACCGGACAAUGUCUUCGGACCAAGGAUUUAUUGCCCUUGGUUGGACCAGCGUUGGAUUAGCUAGUUGGUAGGGUAAGAGCAGACUAAGGCGUCCAUUAAUAGCUGGUUAGAGAGGAAGCUCAGCCACACUGAGACUAAGACGCGGCCCGGACUCCUACGGGAUGGGGGAGUGGGGGAUGUUGGACAGUCGGCGAAAGCCUGAUCCAGCAAUGCCGCGUAAGUGAUGAAGGCCGUAAAGUUGUAAAGCUCUUUUACCCGGGAUGAUAAUGACGGUACCGGGAGAGUAAGCUCCGGCUAACUCCGUG
rnacentral:rRNA from 1 species